CUAUAAAAACAAAAAAAAUUUACAAUUUUUAAAUUUAUAGA
rnacentral:tRNA from 1 species